GGAGGGUGCAAGCGUUGUUCGGAAUUAUUGGGCGUAAAGCGCGUGCAGGCGGUUGGGUAAGUCAGAUGUGAAAGCCUUCCGCUUAACGGAAGAAGUGCAUUUGAAACUGCUCAGCUAGAGUACGGGAGAGGAGAGUGGAAUUCCCGGUGUAGGAGGUGAAAUUCGUAGAUAUCGGGAGGAACACCAGUGGCGAAGGCGGCUCUCUGGUCCGAUACUGACGCUGAGACGCGAAAGCGUGGGGAGCAAACAGGAUUAGAUACCCCGGUAGUCCUAGCCUUAAACGAUGAAUGCUUGGUGUCUGGGGUUUUAUAGUCCCCGGGUGCCGUCGCUAACGCUUUAAGCAUUCCGCCUGGGGAGUACGGUCGCAAGGCUG
rnacentral:rRNA from 1 species